rnacentral:tRNA from 1 species
GGCCCAAUGGUCUAGUAGUAUGAUACGUGCUGCGGGCGACAGCCAGCUUGUUCCUGCGAGUACAGUUGCACGGGGUCCCGGGUUCAAUUCCCGGUGGGCCCA